rnacentral:rRNA from 1 species
GAUGAACGCUGGCGGCGUGCCUAAUACAUGCAAGUCGAGCGAACGGACGAGAAGCUUGCUUUUCUGAUGUUAGCGGCGGACGGGUGUGUAACACGUGGAUAACCUACCUAUAAGACUGGGAUAACUUCGGGAAACCGGAGCUAAUACCGGAUAAUAUUUUGAACCGCAUGGUUCAAAAGUGAAAGACGGUCUCGCUGUCACUUAUAGAUGGAUCCGCGCUGCAUUAGCUAGUUGGUAAGGUAACGGCUUACCAAGGCAACGAUGCAUAGCCGACCUGAGAGGGUGAUCGGCCACACUGGAACUGAGACACGGUCCAGACUCCUACGGGAGGCAGCAGUAGGGAAUCUUCCGCAAUGGGCGAAAGCCUGACGGAGCAACGCCGCGUGAGUGAUGAAGGUCUUCGGAUCGUAAAACUCUGUUAUUAGGGAAGAACAUAUGUGUAAGUAACUGUGCACAUCUUGACGGUACCUAAUCAGAAAGCCACGGCUAACUACGUG